AGGUGGAAGGUUUGACUUCCUCCAUCCAGUAUAAAGAGCUGUUCAGAUUCUCCACUUUCCUGUUGAAAAUGACUGGUUUACAAUGCUUAAUUGUGGACUGCCUUCAAGUGAGGUGAUUUGAUUGGUCCUGUGGGAGAAGACAGAAGAAAAUGUCUUUUCUUCACCCCUCAGGGAAAAGGUUGCUGUUCAUCUGGAUCUCACCCUGCUGUGGGCAGCUAGGCUGCACAUAGAUGAUGUCCUCUACAACAGCAGAUGAUGCCCAUUUGAAAUUUGCUUAGUCUACAUGCUUGAAAGUAAUUUGACAUUAUCAACUUGAGAUUUCAAUAUCGGAUAUUAAAAACACAAAGCAUAACAGUAUUUUAUAUUGUAGGAAACUGUUUCUAUCUGAUCAAUAAUGUAUUCCUUCUUAAUUAUUCAAUGUUAGUGAAAAUUUUAUGCCUACUGGAAUAUUAAUACGAUAUAACAACUGUAAAUACUCCCAUUUUAAUUAAAAUACUUUGAGAAAGUUUUGAUAGGUUAAUAGUCAUGACAAAGCAAAGUAUUCUAUCAAAAUACAAAACAAAGAUUAGGAAUUAUAAAACUAGUAAGAAAUUGCAGGAAAAUUAUAUUUAUAAGCAGUAUACCUUUAUUUCUUUCUAACUUUUUAUAAAAGUCUUGCAACGAAAACAUUCUAGAAUAAUCCUAUUUUCUAUUUCUCACAUACUAUGUGCAAAGAUUUUAUUUCUGGAAGCUUUUAGGAUUAGAAUAUGAUCCUACUUAGUGUUAUAGAAUGUCAGUUUCAGACCUUGAAUAAUCAGAUUUUACUUUAAACUGGAAAAGGACAUUCCAAAUGGAAGACGUUUCAGCUGAAGUAUUCCUUCUAGAACCCAUGAACAUAUUAACCAGGGUAAUGGCAUUGUUGAGCAGACAUCCUUCACACACCAUAGGCUGCAGUCUGCAGCUGUAAUCCUGGAAUUGCUGCUCUUAGAUAGCAAAAGUUCCUCUGUUUCCUGCAGAAGGGAACCUCAUUGCAGGGCUGUAAGGGUUGCACCCUCUCCCCUUUCCUGGCAGGUGGCUGACCACAGCUGCCCAUGCUGCCUGGGCAACCAUGGAGCAAGGAAUCAAGAAAAGAAAGAGCAGAGAUAUUCCCCCAAAAGAAGACAUGACAAUGUUUGCAGAACUUCUUAAAAUUCCAUUCCAUGAUAACAGUUACUAAAAAUAAUAACAAUAAUAAUAAUAAACCCAAAACAACCACUCCCUCCCCCAAAGAACUAACUAAAUAACCCUGCAGCACGAGAGAUAAGGGAAGCUUACAAGAUAGAAAGACGUGAGAUAUUUUAUGAAUAGUGUUAAAUGUGUGAACUUGUACUGUCCUUGGAGUAAUAAUCUCAGACAAAUUGGAAAUAUAUCUUGUCAAGUGAUGCUUUCAGCAACGUGUAGAACUAGCCAAAAUAUAUGGAAUCUGUGCCUCCCAAUACCCUGUGAGGACCACCUCGACUGGUGCCUCAUUAAAUCGUCCCACAUUGAGGUUAGUGCUGCAUAUGGGGCUGUUCCUGAGAUUCAUACAUGCUGAGCAGGACCUACAGCAGUGUGAAAUAUGACAGGGAAAAGAAAGAAUAAAUUCAUUAGACAGCAGAUAACAGUCACAGAAGCAAAUGCUAGAGAGAAAAGCUGGGGGAGUAUAGGGUGGAUUAGCGGGGAGUAGACUGUAUUUCCCCUUUCUCUAUUUGAAUAUAUUGCUGUUCUCUUGCUAGAAAAUGGCUCUUUCACUGUAGCUGCACCUUAUCUUCACAGCUUCAUGUUUCAAACUGUCAAAAUGUAAUAGGCCUUACUGAACUGUUACUGGUGGAUAAGAGAUGAUGCUUAAAAACCAGAACAAAAUAAAGCAAAGAGAAAAUGAGUAUUCUUCUCACACAGAUAGCAGAAAAGUAAAAGCCAAACCAACUUAAAAUAGCAGAUAUUAUGAAUGAUGUCACAGAGUAAUAAGGGGUAUACAAAGCAAGGUAAGUAGAACUACCACAAACGUGCAAUGCUCUUUGCCAGGUCAUGUAACCUCACAACUUACACUUACCUACACUUGGACAGGGACUUCUCUGGUGACUCUGAUAUGUCCUUAAU